rnacentral:rRNA from 1 species
CCUACGGGCGGCAGCAGUGGGGAAUAUUGGUCAAUGGGCGGAACCCUGAUCCAGCGACGCCGCGUGAGUGAAGAAGGAUUUCGGUACGUAAAACUCUAUCAGCCGGGAAGCAAAUGACGGUACCUGACUCAGAAGCCCCGGCUAAAUACGUACCAGCAGCCGCGGUACUACGUAGGGGGCAAGCGUUAUCCGGAUUUACUGGGUGUAAAGGGGGCGUAGCCGGCAGCGCAAGGCUGGAGGGAAAUGCCGGGGCCCAACCCCGGAACUGCUCUGGAAACUGUGAAGCUGGAGUGCAGGAGAGGUAAGCGGAAUGCCUGGUGUAGCGGUGAAAUGCGUAGAUAUCAGGAGGAACACCGGCGGCGAAGGCGGCUUACUGGACUGUAACUGACGCUGAGGCUCGAAGGCGUGGGUAGCAAACAGGAUUAGAUACCCCAGUAGUC